ACGGCUCAGUAACACGUGGACAACCUACCCUAAGGAGAGGGAUAACCCCGGGAAACUGGGGAUAAUACCCCAUAGACUAGAGAAGCUGGAAUGCUCUCAAGUCCAAAGGUCCGCCGCCUUAGGAUGGGUCUGCGGUCGAUUAGGUUGUUGUUGGGGUAACGGCCCAACAAGCCCGUGAUCGAUACGGGUUGUGAGAGCAAGAGCCCGGAGAUGGAUUCUGAGACACGAAUCCAGGCCCUACGGGGCGCAGCAGGCGCGAAAACUUUACAAUGCGGGAAACCGUGAUAAGGGAACCCCGAGUGCCCGUAAAUUCGGGCUGUCCAUCAGCGUAAAUAACUGGUGAAGAAAGGGCCGGGCAAGACCGGUGCCAGCCGCCGCGGUAAUACCGGCGGCUCGAGUGGUGGCCACUAUUAUUGGGCUUAAAGCGUCCGUAGCUUGGUUGUUAAGUCUCUUGGGAAAUCUACCGGCUCAACCGGUAGGCGUUCAGGAGAUACUGGCAAUCUAGGGACCGGGAGAGGUGAGAGGUACUCCAGGGGUAGGAGUGAAAUCCUGUAAUCCUUGGGGGACCACCUGUGGCGAAGGCGUCUCACUAGAACGGCUCCGACAGUGAGGGACGAAAGCUGGGGGAGCAAACCGGAUUAGAUACCCGGGUAGUCCUAGCCGUAAACGAUGCUCGCUAGGUGUCAGUCACGGUGCGACCGUGAUUGGUGCCGUAGGGAAGCCGUGAAGCGAGCCACCUGGGAAGUAUGGCCGCAAGGCUGAAACUUAAAGGAAUUGGCGGGGGAGCAC
rnacentral:rRNA from 1 species